rnacentral:rRNA from 1 species
CAGGAUGAACGCUGGCGGCGUGCCUAACACAUGCAAGUCGAGCGGAGAUAAGUGAAGCCUAGCGAUCUUAUCUAGCGGCGGAUGGGUGAGUAACACGUGGGUAACCUGCCCUGCACUGGGGAAUAACAGCUGGAAACGGCUGUUAAUGCCGCAUAUGCGCACGGAGCCGCAUGGCUUUGGGCGGAAAGAUUUAUCGGUGCAGGAUGGGCCCGCGCCGGAUUAACUAGUUGGCGGGGUAACGGCCCACCAAGGUGAUGAUCCGUAGCCGACCUGAGAGGGUGACCGGCCACAUUGGGACUGAGACACGGCCCAAACUCCUACGGGAGGCAGCAGUGGGGAUAUUGCACAAUGGGGGAAACCCUGAUGCAGCGACGCCGCGUGAAGGAUGAAGUAUUUCGGUAUGUAAACUUCUAUCAACGGGGAAGAAGAUGACGGUACCCGACUAAGAAGCCCCGGCUAACUACGUGCCAGCCGCAGC